rnacentral:rRNA from 1 species
CCUACGGGAGGCAGCAGUGGGGAAUAUUGCACAAUGGGCGAAAGCCUGAUGCAGCAACGCCGCGUGAGGGACGACGGCCUUCGGGUUGUAAACCUCUUUUAGCAGGGAAGAAGCGAAAGUGACGGUACCUGCAGAAAAAGCGCCGGCUAACUACGUGCCAGCAGCCGCGGUAAU